UGCAGUCGAGCGGUACAGAGAUAGCUUGCUAUCUGCUGACGAGCGGCGGACGGGUGAGUAAUGCUUGGGAAUCUGCCUAGUAGUGGGGGAUAACUCGGAGAAAUCCGAGCUAAUACCGCAUACGCCCUACGGGGGAAAGAUUUAUCGCUAUUAGAUGAGCCCAAGUCAGAUUAGCUAGUUGGUAGGGUAAUGGCCUACCAAGGCGACGAUCUGUAGCUGGUCUGAGAGGACGAACAGCCACACUGGGACUGAGACACGGCCCAGACUCCUACGGGAGGCAGCAGUGGGGAAUAUUGGACAAUGGGCGAAAGCCUGAUCCAGCAAUGCCGCGUGUGUGAAGAAGGCCUGCGGGUUGUAAAGCACUUUCAGUUGGGAAGAUUAUGACGUUACCAACAGAAGAAGCACCGGCUAACUCCGUGCCAGCAGCCGCGGUAAUACG
rnacentral:rRNA from 1 species